rnacentral:rRNA from 1 species
AGAGUUUGAUCCUGGCUCAGGAUGAACGCUAGCUACAGGCUUAACACAUGCAAGUCGAGGGGCAGCGGGGAGGAUGCUUGCAUUCUCUGCCGGCGACCGGCGCACGGGUGAGUAACGCGUACCGAACCUGCCUCAUACUCGGGAAUAGCCUUGCGAAAGUAAGAUUAAUGCCCGGUGUUCCGCGAGGGCCGCAUGGCCUUUUCGGCAAAGUUUUUUACGGUAUGAGAUGGCGGUGCGUCCCAUUAGCUUGUUGGCGGGGUAACGGCCCACCAAGGCGACGAUGGGUAGGGGUUCUGAGAGGAAGGUCCCCCACAUUGGAACUGAGACACGGUCCAAACUCCUACGGGAGGCAGCAGUGAGGAAUAUUGGUCAAUGGGCGAAAGCCUGAACCAGCCAAGUAGCGUGCAGGAUGACGGCCCUCUGGGUUGUAAACUGCUUUUAGUCGGGAAUAAAAUGCGGCACGUGUGCCGCUUUGCAUGUACCGUCAGAAAAAGGACCGGCUAAUUCCGUGCCAGCAGCCGCGGUAAUACGGAAGGUCCAGGCGUUAUCCGGAUUUAUUGGGUUUAAAGGGAGCGCAGGCGGACUUUUAAGUCAGCUGUUAAAUUCGGUGGCUCAACCAUCGCAUGCAGUUGAAACUGGAGGUCUUGAGUGUACACAGGGAUGCUGGAAUUCAUGGUGUAGCGGUGAAAUGCUCAGAUAUCAUGAAGAACUCCAAUCGCGAAGGCAGGCAUCCGGGGUACAACUGACGCUGAGGCUCGAAAGUGCGGGUAUCAAACAGGAUUAGAUACCCUGGUAGUCCGCACAGUAAACGAUGGAUACUCGCGGUUCGGCUUUAUAGCGGAGCCGCCAAGCGAAAGCGUUAAGUAUCCCACCUGGGGAGUACGCCGGCAACGGUGAAACUCAAAGGAAUUGACGGGGGCCCGCACAAGCGGAGGAACAUGUGGUUUAA